UGGCCUUGUGACGGGAGCUGGAACUGCCGAUGAGCGCCAGGCCCGGAGCAGGGCCCAGCCUGGAAAACAGAGGAGAUUAAUCCUGAUCGAGAUGACAACCUCCCAAAAGCACCGAGACUUCGUGGCAGAGCCCAUGGGGGAAAAGCCAGUGGGGAGCCUGGUCGGGAUCGGUGAAGUCCUGGGCAAGAAGCUGGAGGAAAGGGGCUUUGACAAGGCUUAUGUGGUCCUUGGCCAGUUUCUGGUGCUAAAGAAAGAUGAAGACCUCUUCCAGGAAUGGCUAAAGGACACAUGUGGUGCCAAUGCCAAGCAGUCCCGGGACUGCUUUGGGUCCCUUCGAGAGUGGUGUGACGCCUUCUUGUGAUGCUCUCUGGGGAGCCCCCAAUCCCAAACUCCAGCCUUGAGUCUUCAGAGUUUGCAGCUCAGUGGGGACUACUCCCUUGUCCUCUACCAAGGAAGCGAUUGCUGUCUGCUCACCACCG